rnacentral:rRNA from 1 species
GUUAAACGGCCGCGGUAUUUUGACCGUGCAAAGGUAGCGCAAUCACUUGUCUUUUAAAUGAAGACCUGUAUGAAUGGUGAAACGAGGGCUUAACUGUCUCCCCCAUCUAGUCAAUGAAAUUGAUCUACCCGUGCAGAAGCGGGUAUUACCAUACAAGACGAGAAGACCCUUUGGAGCUUAAGACAAAAGACCCACUAUGUCAAAAGUCCUGAAAAUGAAACUAAACCAAAUAGCACUGGCCCAAGUCUUCGGUUGGGGUGACCGCGGGAAAAAACACAACUCCCAUGUAGAAAGGGGUAACCCCCUAAAACUAAGAGAGACAUCUCUAAGGCACAGAAUAUCUGACUUCAAAGAUCCGGCUACAUGCCGAUCAACGGACCAAGUUACCCUAGGGAUAACAGCGCAAUCCCCUUCCAGAGUCCCUAUCGACAAGGGGGUUUACGACCUCGAUGUUGGAUCAGGACAUCCUAAUGGUG